rnacentral:lncRNA from 1 species
AUUUUAUGGCCACAAAAAAAAAAACACGAAGUUCUCGGGCCAAGGAAUGAAUCCCAUGCCACAGCUGUAGCAACGCUGGACCCUUUAACCCACUGCCCUGGGCUGCGGAUUGAACCUGAACCUCUGUAGUGACCUGAACCGCAUCAGAUUCUUUUUUUCUUUUUUAUGGCCACAGCUGCGGCAUAUGAAGUUCCUGGGGUAGGGGUCAAAAUGGAGCUGCAGCUGCAGGCCUACACCAUAGCCACAGCAACACCAGAUCUGAGCUGCACCUGCGACUUUAUACCACAGAUCAUAGCAAUGCAGGAUCCUUAACCCCCUGAGCAAGGCAGGGAUCAAACCCACUGGUUCUUAGCCCACUGAGCCACAGGGGAAAUCCUGCAAUCAGAUUCUUAACCCACUGCACCAAAGAGGGAACUCCAGAAGUGGCUUAUUUUAAGCUGAGUUCAAGAAAUAUACAAUGAUAGGGAGUUCCCAUCAUGGUUCAGUGGCAACAAACCCAACUAGGCUCCAUGAGGAGGUGGGUUUGAUUCCAGACCUCACUCAGUGGGUUAAGGAUCCAGUGUUGCUGUGGUGUAGGUUGCAGAAAGGACUCAGACCCUGUGCUGUUGUGGCUGCAGCAUAGGAUGUCAGCUAUAGCUCUAAUAUGACCCCUAGCCUGGGAACUUCCACAUGCCACGAGUGCAGCCCUAAAAAAGCAAGAAAAUAAAAGUAUAUAAUCCUAAAAUAUGUAAAACUGAAGUUAUACCCAUAUAUACUAUAAUAAAAAAAUUCAUGCUACUCCUAAGGACAAUAUUAUUUUAUGAAGGUGUUUUCGCUACUAUAUAAAUCUUAAUUUUUUUCUUAAUGAUAAAGGUUCAUAUUUUCAAUGUAACUUGAUACUAGGUAUGGGUUAAUAUUUUGUUUUUUAUUUUAUUUUUUGCUUUUUAGGGCCGCAGGUGCAGCAUAUGCAAGUUCCCAGGCUAGAAGUCUAUUUGGAGCUACAGCUGCCAACCUCCACCACAGCCACAGCAACUUGGGAUCCAAGCCAUGUCUGUGACCUACACUACAGCUUUUGGCAAUGCCAAAUCCAUAACCCACUGAGUGAGGCCAGGGAUCAAACCCACAUCCUCAUGGAUACUAGUCAGAUUCGUUUCCACUG